rnacentral:rRNA from 1 species
AAAGCUACUGUUGUUAAAGAAGAACACGUAUGAGAGUAACUGUUCAUACGUUGACGGUAUUUAACCAGAAAGUCACGGCUAACUACGUGCCAGCAGCCGCGGUAAUACGUAGGUGGCAAGCGUUAUCCGGAUUUAUUAGGGCGUAAAGAGAGUGCAGGCGGUUUUCUAAGUCUGAUGUGAAAGCCUUCGGCUUAACCGGAGAAGUGCAUCGGAAACUGGAUAACUUGAGUGCAGAAGAGGGUAGUGGAACUCCAUGUGUAGCGGUGGAAUGCGUAGAUAUAUGGAAGAACACCAGUGGCGAAGGCGGCUACCUGGUCUGCAACUGACGCUGAGACUCGAAAGCAUGGGUAGCGAACAGGAUUAGAUACCCUGGUAG